UACGUAGGGGGCGAGCGUUGUCCGAAGUUACUGGGCGUAAAGCGCGCGUAGGCGGGCUCGUAAGGCUGGUGUGAAAGGUUCAGGGCUCAACCCGAACAGGGCACUGGCGACUGGGAGCCUUGAGUGGGGGAGAGGGGGAGCGGAAUUCCGGGUGUAGCGGUGAAAUGCGUAGAUAUCCGGAGGAACACCGAUGGCGAAGGCAGCUCUCUGGCCUCUUUACUGACGCUGAGGUGGCGAAAAGCGUGGGGAGCCGAACGGGG
rnacentral:rRNA from 1 species